rnacentral:lncRNA from 1 species
UUGCUGUGGCGGUGGAAUCGAUGGACCGUAGUAAGCGCCGUUGAGUUGGUUACCGGCCAUGUUUAACUGAUUCAAAUAUUUUCGAAACUUUGGUAAAGUGAUUAUUGAGAAGUGAAAUGAAAGAGUGGAAAAAUAUAUAAUAAAAUAUCGAUGGGAGUGUCAGUGAGGGUAUAAAGGGAAUUUUGAUACUGUUUGUUUGUUUCGAGUAAGUUGUAACGUUAAUAAUGUGAUAUAGUGGAGGUGCGUGCGUUUGAAGAGAAUAGGAAUAGAAUAAGCGCGUUAAGUGAUAAGCAUUUUCCUUUCAAGUUCAACAGAAACCAACCACUGAUAUUGAGGAAAAGGAAAAAUUGUGAUGGGAAUCAAUGGGAAAAAUUGAUGAGCGAAGAUAGAAGAAAAAUUGGUUUUGCUUUUAAGGAUAUAUUUUCAUUUUUAUUUUGGGAAAAUCGUAUUAGUUAAGAGAACAAUAAAACAAACUUGAUAAUUCAUCCAAAACAAAAAAAGAAACAAACUUGAUAAGAUCAAAUAGAGUUAUUAUUGGCUUUUGGCUUAAACAAUAUUUAUUGAUAAUCAAAGAGUUAUUGGCUUUUGGCUUGGACCAAUCUUUUAUUG